AGUGAACGCUGGCGGUAGGCCUAGCACAUGCAAGUCGAACGGCAGCACAGUAAGAGCUUGCUCUUACGGGUGGCGAGUGGCGGACGGGUGAGGAAUACAUCGGAAUCUACUUUUUCGUGGGGGAUAACGUAGGGAAACUUACGCUAAUACUGCAUACGACCUACGGGUGAAAGCAGGGGAUCUUCGGACCUUGCGCGAUUGAAUGAGCCGAUGUCGGAUUAGCUAGUUGGCGGGGUAAAGGCCCACCAAGGCGACGAUCCGUAGCUGGUCUGAGAGGAUGAUCAGCCACACUGGAACUGAGACACGGUCCAGACUCCUACGGGAGGCAGCAGUGGGGAAUAUUGGACAAAGGGCGCAAGCCUGAUCCAGCCAUACCGCGUGGGUGAAGAAGGCCUUCGGGUUGUAAAGCCCUUUUGUUGGGAAAGAAAAGCAGCAGGUUAAUACCCCGCUGUUCUGACGGUACCCAAAGAAUAAGCACCGGCUAACUUCGUG
rnacentral:rRNA from 1 species